UACGUAGGGUGCAAGCGUUGUCCGGAAUUAUUGGGCGUAAAGAGCUUGUAGGCGGUUUGUCGCGUCUGCUGUGAAAUUUCGGGGCUCAACCCCGAACUUGCAGUGGGUACGGGCAGACUAGAGUGUGGUAGGGGAGACUGGAAUUCCUGGUGUAGCGGUGAAAUGCGCAGAUAUCAGGAGGAACACCGAUGGCGAAGGCAGGUCUCUGGGCCGAUACUGACGCUGAGAAGCGAAAGCAUGGGGAGCGAACAGG
rnacentral:rRNA from 1 species